CCCCUAGAUGUUCUGGGCCGCACGCGCGCUACACUGAACAGUUCAACAAGUCUUAACCUUGGCCGAUAGGUCUGGGUAAUCUUUGAACGCUGUUCGUGAUUGGGAUAGACCUUUGCAAUUAUGGGUCUUCAACGAGGAAUUCCUAGUAAACGCAAGUCAUCAGCUUGCAUUGAUUACGUCCCUGCCCUUUGUACACACCGCCUGUCGCACCUACCGAUUGAAUGGUCCGGUGAAGCCUCCGGAUUGGCGCGCACCUCGGUGCCGCCGAGAAGUUGGCUAAACCUUACCAUUUAGAGGAAGGUGAAGUCGUAACA
rnacentral:rRNA from 1 species